UACGAAGGGGGCUAGCGUUGUUCGGAAUUACUGGGCGUAAAGCGCACGUAGGCGGAUUGUUAAGUGAGGGGUGAAAUCCCAGGGCUCAACCCUGGAACUGCCUUUCAUACUGGCAAUCUCGAGUUCGAGAGAGGUAAGUGGAAUUCCGAGUGUAGAGGUGAAAUUCGUAGAUAUUCGGAGGAACACCAGUGGCGAAGGCGGCUUACUGGCUCGAUACUGACGCUGAGGUGCGAAAGCGUGGGGAGCAAACAGG
rnacentral:rRNA from 1 species